rnacentral:tRNA from 1 species
GCAUCUGUAGUGUAGUGGUUAUCAUCCUUGCCUUCCAUUCCUGUUCGGAAUAGCAAGGGACCCGGUUUCGAUUACCGGCGGAUGCA